rnacentral:lncRNA from 12 species
GGAAGCUUUCAUCUCUUUCCUUUUCAUGGUUUCUAUUUAUUUCACAGAAGGCACUGCAGGAAAAUUACAGAACACCAACCUGGGUGCUGAAAGGAAGCGGCAUCCUUGAGAGGCAGUAAGCGAUCAUGAAAACCUGGCACAACACAGCUGGGCUUCAUUCCUUCUGGAACCACUUCUCAACAGCACAAGAUUUUGUUUAUUUUCGAGAGAGAUCAUUCUACGAAGGGCUCAAUCUCACAACCCUGAGAAUAUGACCCAAGCGAAAUCAACAGUUGAACGCCCAAACUGACAGGGCCACCCAGGCACCCCAAUUUCAGGUGUGAUUUUUAUGGCUGGUGUCAAAGGAAACACUUGGUGCUCUGUUUGGGAAGUAGAAUUGGGCCUCAUGA